rnacentral:rRNA from 1 species
AAUAUCCUUUUUCGAUUGGGUAUGGCUUCAACCAUUCCUAGGGUCCGCCAACUAGUCAGACAUAGACAUAUUUUAGUUAACAGUUGUAUAAUCAACAUACCAAGUUUUAAUUGCAAACCCUGAGAUAUAAUUACUAUGAAAGAUAACCAAAUAUCAAAAGGUUCGGUUCAAUAUUAUAUUGCUUCAUCGGACCCGGGGAAAUUGCCAAAGCAUUUGACGAUUGACACAUUGGAAUAUAAAGGACUAGUAAAUAAAAUCCUAGAUAGGAAGUGGGUUGGUCUCAAAAUAAAUGAGUUGUUAGUUGUAGAAUAUUACUCUCGUCAGACUUGA